rnacentral:lncRNA from 1 species
UGUAGUAAUAUUUAAUAACAUUUUAAUUUUCUUUUAAAAUAUUGAAAUUAGUAUAUAUUUUAAUCAUUACAAUGCAUUUCUCCAGAGUGCUUUCCCAAAAGCACUUUAUAUUUUGUAAUUAAAUUAUACCCACAGAGCAUGGCAGAGUUCCUAUUUAAUGCAAUUUUCUUAAUGAAAAAGUAUAAUAUUAACCAGUUCCUAAUAUCGUAGCUAAACAUUUGCUAUAUAUCAAAUGAUUUAUAUUCAUCCUGAUAUUUAAUCUUCCCUACCUCAUCUUAAAGAUGUAGAACCUGAGGCUCAGGAGACUUACAAUUUCCUCAGUUUUGCUAAUUGAAAAAUAAAAGGUCACGUGACGUUUAGAGCAUAUUGUGAGAUUAUUUUUAUAAGAAACAUUAUCACCCAGAUUUCUGUAGUAAAAUUGUCAGAAUUCCCUCCAGGACUGUACUUGGGAAUAAAAGGAAAUGUUAAAUGCUCAAAUUUUAAAACUCCAAACAAAAUAAUGUACAGCUGGCAGAUCAUUCUUAAGUAAAUUCUGCUCUCUAGUUUUGUUUAAAAUCUUGGCAGAGAGUAGCUUUCAUUCAGAAAAUAAGUGUUAGUAAUUUUAUGUCAACUUAACCCACAUCUUAGAAGAGGAAGAAAAAGUCUGAGAUGAUUUCCUUUCCUCUUAACGACAGUGCUGCCAAGACUGGCAAGAUUAGUGAGAAGAGGGUGUGCAGCUACCUGGAAAUGUAAAGAGGAGUCAGAUAUGCAUGUGAACUGUUACAUUUCAUAACAAUGUCCAUUUCAUGCAUUUUGCUUUCUCUAGAAAAUGGCCCAAGGAAGGUAUAACCCAAAGGGAUAGGCCAACCACCUGUGAAUAGGAAAGACUCACAGAAAGAUUUCACACUCAAAAUCUCCUGUGGAUGUAAUCUAUAAAUUAGAGUCUUGUUUGCAUUGGUAGAGUCCUCUUCUAUAAUGAAGUAUUCUCCUGGAAGAAAAUUCUACCAGUUAUUGCCAUCUUAACUUCAAUCCAUGACUGAGAUAUACAAACCUAGAAAAUAGUAGUAAUGAUUAAAAAGAGAAGAAAAAAGUUAUAACUGAAAACAGGUGAUAGGAGAAUGAGGUUUUUUGUUUUUGUUUUUAGUGACUAAAGUAAUAAAUUUUAAAGAACUAAAGGACUGGCUAAUGGUGGAGGAGGUCUAGGAAUAAAAAGAUUAAAUUGAUAAGACAAGUCCAGUAGAGAACUAGGGUUAUACCAAAGUCAAAUAUUUUCCAACAUGUAGUCCCCAGUGGCAGGCCUCUCAUUUUAUAGCAGUCUUAAAAAUCUCCAAGUCUCUGCCCCACCUAUUAAUUCUCAAAGAAUUUUUUCCAACUAUAUCUCUUUCUCCUCUAAAUAAUAUUAUUAAUUUUCAUCAUUGGCUGGCAGUACCAUUUGAUAUUCUUGAAUUGUUCCUUGUCCACAAGUUGGAGCUAGGGCACUGGAAUAUCAGGGUGGAAAAUCAGGGUCUUGGUAAGGGAGGAGCACGCAUUCUCUGAGAGCCAUAGGGCCCAAAGCAUGGUAACUAAGAACAAAGGCCCUGGUGAGAAGCUGAGCAGAGGCCAAGCACACUAUCCAGUUGAUUAUUAAUCCUAAUGGGAUGGACAGAAAGACAAACUUCCCAAGUCAGUGAAAAGGCAUCCAAGAAAAUCAAUAAGGUUCACAGUGGAGGGGGACGCAAUAUCCAGGGACAGAGCAUUGAGAUAGAUCAGAAAUUAAGAGUGAUGGCACAGGAGAAAGGGAUCAUUUUGGUCUGGCUACUAUUACAUCAGGUUUGCUUUGCUUCUUCCAUUUGAUUGCCAGAAAAUAUUCCUUGUGAGUCUCUCUGAAAAACCCUGCUAUUCUUUUCCUGACAGUGAAGAAGCAGAAGCUGAGCAACAUUCAGAAGCCACUAACACAGGUGAUGAACCUAGGAAGGGAACAAACCGGGAAUAUAAUUACCACUAAACUUUCUCUGACCUAGACUUUGUAUUUAUAAAUUUCUAUAUUUUUGAAAUCACCUUUUGUACCAGAACUCCAAGAUUGACCUUUUAAUAACCAUAGGACUGCCAAAAAUUCAUUGCCAUUCAAUUUCCUCCUCUGAGCUCUCCCCACCCAGUAAGAGUUUUCACUACCUAAUUAGAUAAAAAUUUCCCCUAGAAGUAUAAGAUCUACAGGUAUAAAAGUAGGGACGAUGGAACUGGUUAAAAGACUCAGGCAAACUGAUAGGAGAGAAAUCUCAAGGAGCAAUCCAUUAAUGCAAUCCCCUUGUUUUACUUGUGAAGACCUUAAGGGAAAUUAAGGUCAUGUGGUUAAACUAGACUUUAAAUCUCUCGGAUCCUGGAUUAAAAAAAAAUUGCUAAUCAGUAAGAAGUUGUUUUAAAAUCAUAGAAAAACAUUUUAACUUAAAACAAAUUACGUAAGUACAUAAAUAGAUUGAGUUACCUUUAAAAAUAGUCACAGAACCGACAGUACACCUCAGUUAGAGUCUGGUAUUGUUCAUCAUCCUGUGAGAGAAUGCCAGGCACACACGUACCAUUUGCUUGGCUCAUCUAAAUACAACUUUUUCUUCUUCUUCUUCUUGGCCACACCUGUGGCACCUGGAAGUUCCUGGGCCAGGGAUCGAAUCCAAGCUACAGCUAUGGCAACAGUGGAUACUUAACCCUCUGAGCCACAGCAGAAACUCCAUGAAUCUAACUCUUGAAUAAAGGGUACACCAAAAAUAAAAGGGUAGAAGUACUUCAGAUGAAAUAAUAUGGCCCAGUUAGAUGCAAACUAUGUAGAUACAGCAUCUAAGUUUGCUACAAAUAAAGAGAUAUAACUGGGAUAAUUCCUACUUGAAUAAGCUAUAAUUCAAGGUCUAGAUACAAUCCAUCUGUGGAGAAAAACGGGAGAAGGAAAAUCUAGAUUAGCCCAUUCUUCACUUCAGAUAACAGCAAAGUCUUUCUUGUGAAUUUUUUUCCCAUUGGUUCACCAUUGCACCUUUUCCUUCUGAGGAGCCUGAAGCCAGGGAUGAGUUUCAGCCCUGCAUUGUGGAGGAGAGGUUUCUUUUGCAGGAUGAUAUAUGACAUCACUCUUCCUUGGGCUGAGUUCGUCACACCCUUCCUCAAAGGAUCUGCCAAAUAUUUGCGCCUCACCAGCAGAUCCUUGAGGACAGAAACACUGUCCAUCUUAUUCAGGACUCCCAUCACCUUUAUUUACUAAUACUCAUACAGAAUAUUACACCUCAACAUAUGCACAGAUACAUGGUAACAACUACCUGAUGAAACUAGGGGAGGAAUUUUAUCCCUACCUGACUGAGAAGCAGACUGCAAGAGACUCUGACAUGUCCAGGGGGACGCUGGGUAACUAGAAAGGAACCAGGACUAGAGUAUAAAUACUCCUUUCCUGAUUCAGCCUCUCCUCAGCCUCUCCUGAGGCUAGUCAUAGAUGCCACUUACAAAACAGAAAUAGACGCUGCUAGUAUUAAUAUAAUACCACAGAAAACUAAAAUAAAUAAAGGGGAAAGUCAUUUGGAAAAUCAAUGGUUUCUUUGAUCUUUUUCUCUGAAUGAUUUCUAGGAUUAAAUUACUCAACUAGGUAGAUUGAUUUAAAACUGUCAAGAUAGUUUCCCAACACUGAGUAAGCCUAUACAAAAUGGGGCCCCCAGGAGCAGACAGAACAGUUUCUGUCAAAGAAUGGAAAAAUACUUUUGAAACUUUACAACAUAGUCUAACAAAUCACUUCACUCGCUUCAAACUGUAGCUGCCUCCAAAUGCAAAUACCACACUUAUCUUAAAGAUCCAGAAUAUCUGAAAGAAUAGUAAAGGUCUGCUCAGCAUUUCUUUCACAGUAGGAAACUGUAAAAUUCCACAGACACACCCUACACUGUGACUCUUAUUUAGAAAAGGAAGAGAAAGCAAAGGCACAAGACAAUAUAUUAUUUGUUUUUAGUGUUUUUUACAGUCAACUUAUUUGACUUCAGCCUGCAAGAAGCAGAAUGAGAUAACCCCAUAUAAAACUCCUCCUAAACUUCAAAACUCUCUUAAGGGUUUGAAGGCAGAUGUAGGAUGUCUGCUGUCUCUGAUAAGAAACUGUAAAAGAAAGGACAGAGCCUUAGGAAGUGGAAAGAAAUACAAAAAAAAAAAGCAUCCAUUACUCAGUUUAAUAAAACUAUUUGUAUAAGGAGAGAGCUAAAGUUCUUAAGUACAGAGCACAUAUCUUUCUUGCAGCAGCAAUCUAAUUUUUAAUGAAGGAGUAGUAGAGGCUUCUUUUUAAGGUUUUUAUCAAAUUGGAAAAGUUAUAAACCUUACUGCUCUUGCUAUUACUACUUAAUCAUUGAAAGAAUAAAUCAUGUGGGGGACAAGCUAUGAGAAUUUCAUUGGAAGCUUGCUUUUAUUAAAGAGAAACUUAUUUAAAAAACACGCUUCUCACCAGGGAUUAUGCCAAGUAUCACUUCAAACCCUGUUUCUUUGAUGAGAGCUAGAGGCAACUAAUUCAUAAUGAUGGGAGCUAGAGGCAGCUAACUCAUAAUCUAAUUGUUAAGGGUCCUUGCGAUUAAUUCCCAACAAAUUCAUUAAUCCAUUAGAGAUAUUUAUUGAGUGACUAUUAUCUACCUGUGAUUAUUUUAUAAAAAAGAAAAAUAUAUAUAUGUCCUUCUCAUAGUGCUAUAUCUCUAAAGCUGUCUCUGUUAAUGUUUGUUGUAGCUCUGAAUUCCUACCACAUUUCACUCUUCACUGAUAAUAAACAAAUAAGGAAGAAAGCAGUGGGAUAUAUUUAUUCAGAAAGCCUAUUUAAAUUAUUUAAAGCCAUAGAAUUUUUCUUUCACACUUACGACAGUCAAGAUUUUGCUGUUCCCUAUGUGUUUGAUUUACACAGACAGUAAAUCAGACAUCUGAAAUCAAUUAAAGUACAUAACCUUGAGAAUUUUCUACCUGAUUAUAUUAGGAGAACUGUACAUGAUUUUUUUCUUUUGAUUAUAAUUUAUUUGCUUGUAUUGCUUUCAUUUUGAUUACCUUUUUGAACUUUAUAAAAUAUCAAAAUUUUUAUGAAUAUCAGAUUUAUGUACCCUUACUGCCUUAAUGAGCAAAGCAAAUUAAGUCAUUGAUUGUUAUUAUGUCAUUAACUAUAAGGAAGUAGAUCUAAAUUUUUUUAUUUUAAAUUAUAAUUUUUUAAGUAUAAUUUGAAGUAUAACUUUUAAAUUAUAUUAACCUUUAAGAGCAAGUUAUCUACAAAGCUUAAGAUACUUGGCUUUCAAGAAUUUGCCUCAGUUUCUCUAACUAAAAAUAAUUAAAAAUCAUAUUCUUUUCUGCUAGUCUUCAUGUCAUUCUCAUAGAUAGUUGCACUGUACAAUAGUUGUAAUUUUGGUGUAUUUGUGAGAGGAGGUGAGCUCAGGGUCUUCCUACUCCAUCAUCUUCUUAGGCUCAUUUAUUAAAACUAUCAGAAGUAUUGUAUAUUUGGCAUGGAAUAGAAAAGAAUAGAGUCCUAGAAUCAUCAAACAUGACUCUGGAAUGGAGAGACCAAGCCAUGGCCAUAAAUCUGAAGUCUUCGGAUGGGAAGAACAACUUUGUAGUGAAGCCUUGUGUUUAAGGAAGAAUUCUUGGAAAUCUGUUUGCAUAGAAGAGAAACUCCACAAGUUAAGCUCAUUUUUUCUAGAAAGCCAGAAUCUACUAACCCAGACCUGUGGCAAAAUAGAACCUCUGGUUUCUAAUUCCAUCUGUGGCAGCUAUGGUUUUCAUAAAGAAUUUAGGCCUCUCACUUAGUCUUACAUAGCGAGGAAGCUUCAUGUGUCAUGUCUGAAUUAGAAAUGUGUCUAUGAUCUUUGAUUUCCUUUGCUU